rnacentral:rRNA from 1 species
GAUGAACGCUGGCGGCGUGCCUAAUACAUGCAAGUCGAGCGAACAGACGAGGCGCUUGCUCCUCUGACGUUAGCGGCGGACGGGUGAUUAACACGUGGAUAACCUACCUAUAAGACUGGGAUAACUUCGGGAAACCGGAGCUAAUACCGGAUAAUAUAUUGAACCGCAUGGUUCAAUAGUGAAAGACGGUUUUGCUGUCACUUAUAGAUGUCUCCUCGCGGCAUUAGAUAGUUGGUAAGGUAACGGCUUACCAAGGCAACGAUGCGUAGCGGACCUGAGAGGGUGAACGGCCACACGGAAACAGAGACGGGGUAGAGACCCAUGGGAGGGGGAGGAGUGGGAAAUCUGACGAAGUGGGCGAAAGCCUGACGGAGAAGCGCCGCGUGAGAGAAAAGGGUCUGGAGAGCGAAAAACUCUGUGAUGAGAGAAAAACAAAUGUGUAAGUAACUAGGCGCGUUUAGACGGUAAAUAAAAAGAAAGCCAGGGAAAACCACG